rnacentral:rRNA from 1 species
CAGCAGCCGCGUGAAUACGAAGGGUGCAAGCGUUAAUCGGAAUUACUGGGCGUAAAGCGCGCGUAGGUGGUUUGGUAAGAUGGAUGUGAAAUCCCCGGGCUCAACCUGGGAACUGCAUCCAUAACUGCCUGACUAGAGUACGGUAGAGGGUGGUGGAAUUUCCUGUGUAGCGGUGAAAUGCGUAGAUAUAGGAAGGAACACCAGUGGCGAAGGCGACCACCUGGACUGAUACUGACACUAAGGUGCGAAAGCGUGGGGAGCAAACAGGAUUAGAGACCCGUGUAGUCCCUGUCUCUUAUAC